rnacentral:pre_miRNA from 15 species
AAGUAUGGAAGCAUCCAUAAAGCUCAGGAGGGAUAGCGCCAUUGAUGACAAGGAAAGACCUGGGAUUGCUCUUUCAUCUGCUGCGCUAUCUAUCCUGAGUUCCAUGGGCUCUUCCUGCUC